rnacentral:rRNA from 1 species
UGGUGGAGUGAUUUGUCUGGUUAAUUCCGAUAACGAGCGAGACCUCAGCUUGCUAAUUAGUUGGGUGAAUCUUUUGAUUCUUCCUGUUCCCAACUUCUUAGAGGGACUAUCGGUGAGUAGCCGAUGGAAGUUUGAGGCAAUAACA